UACGGGGGGGAGCAAGCGUUGUUCGGAUUUACUGGGCGUAAAGGGCGUGUAGGCGGCCACCGCAAGUCGGUUGUGAAAUCUCCGGGCUUAACCCGGAAGGUCAACCGAUACUGCGGGGCUAGAGUGCAGAAGGGGCAACUGGAAUUCUCGGUGUAGCGGUGAAAUGCGUAGAUAUCGAGAGGAACACCUGCGGCGAAGGCGGGUUGCUGGGCUGACACUGACGCUGAAACGCGAAAGCUAGGGGAGCGAACGGG
rnacentral:rRNA from 1 species